GAGAGAGAGAGAGAGAGAGAGAGAGAGAGAGAGAGAGAGAGAGAGGGAGAAUAUUUUUUUUUAUGUUUUGUUUUCUUUUUUUUUCUUUUCCUUGUGUUUUGUCUUGAGAGAAAGAGAAAGAGAAACAAGUGGAUAAUCAUGUGUGUGAGAAAGGUGGAUAAGAGAUAGACGGCGAUAAAGUGGAAUUGAAGAAGAAGAAAAGAAAGAAAAAUCACGAGAGAAAAAGAAAAAAGGGAGAAAUAGAGAUAAAGAAAAGGACUGAGAGAAGGAGGAGGAGAAGGAGAAGAAACGGCGAAUAAACGAGGGAAGAAGCAAACCCGGAUAAAGAAGAAGAGAGAAAAAGGGAAACGAAUGGACGAAUAAAGAAGAGGGAAGACCAGGCGUAGAGGAGAAUGAAGGAGAAUGAGGAGGUAAGAGA